CCCUUAGAUGUCCUGGGCCGCACGCGCGUUACACUGAUGCAUUCAACGAGCUUAUAACCUUGGCCGAGAGGCCUGGGCAAUCUUGUUAACGUGCAUCGUGAUAGGGAUAGAUUAUUGAAAUUAUUAAUCUUGAACGAGGAAUUCCUAGUAAACGCAGAUCAUCAAUCUGCAUUGAUUACGUCCCUGCCCUUUGUACACACCGCCCGUCGCUCCUACCGAUUGAAUGCUCAGGUGAGCCAUUCGGACUUUCAUCAUGCUGGUUUCCAGUUUUGAUGAAGGAAAGUCUUGCGAACCUUAUCAUUUAGAGGAAGGAGAAGUCGUAACA
rnacentral:rRNA from 1 species